AUCCUGUCCUGGUUCCCAGUCGUGACCAUUGGGUUUUCAUGCCAUUGUGCAAGAUGUUCCUCCCUGAAACCCUGAUAUAAAGUCAGCACAUCAGCCUUCUGAUG